UCAUUGCUGUAGCAUUAUAUCUGUAUUUUGUUCUACUAUUAUAGUUGGUAUGUAAGUUGCCCAAGGUCUUUUCGUCAGCAUAAACUCCUGUAGUUUGUACAUUGAGGAAAAGAAAAUUAGACAUUCCAGCCCUAAGCUGGCUGGCUGGGCAGUAAAAAAAUUGCUUUUCCUAUCCAUAAAGUGAUCUAUUUUUUUAUGCCAUAUUAGUUGAUGGUUGCUACUAGUUAUCUUUUCACAUUGACGAGUUUGCUUCCUUUUCUUCACUAUUUCAUGGGUCCACAACUGGAAAUGUGUGCUUUAUAACUAGAAGCCACUUGAUGUCUUGAAGAAAGAGUUCUCUUUUUAGAAGAAGAGAGAGAAAGUCAUCACUUCCACCGAAAAUAGCUCUUCCUAUUCUUUGUUAAAUAUCAAUCACUUAAACACUACUCUCUAGUUUGUCUUGCUUUGUAUUCCAAGUUUAAUAGUUUCACAACUCUCCCAACAGUUCACCAAUGUCGUCGUCUGCCUCAAGUGCAUUGAUGUCCUUCUACAUUCCCAUCUUCCUCUGUUUAAUUUGCUCCAUCUCUGCUGCCAACCAUCCUAUCCCACUCAAUGGUACCUGUCAUGAUACUUGUGGCACAAUACCAGUGAAGUUCCCCUUUGGCACCGAGUUUGGAUGUGGACACCCUGAGUUUUCUAGAUAUGUGAGAUGUAACUCAGGCACUCUAGAAUUUUCUACUGGCACUGGCAUUUACACUAUCUCCUCAAUUGAUUACCCAAGCAACACCUUAAUUGUCACAGAUCCACUCAUGUCAACAUGCAGUUCAAUGCAGAACUCAGGAAGCUUUAGCUUGGAUCGAGCUAGUCCAUUCACUUUAACAGGAGAAAAUAUCUUUGUUUUGCUAGGAUGCUCUACCACUUCUCCUGUAUUUGACCCAAAAGAAGAUUUGUGCAACACAGGUUCAGGUUCUCGUGUUUGUAAAGGACUAUAUUCUUGCAAGGGAGUCCAAGGAAUUGGGUUGCCGCAUAACGCACCGAUUUCUACAUGCUGUGUUUACGAGUCGCCUAUUCAACUUGCAGGCUACACACUGGAUCUUCCCAAGCUCCAAUGCUCCUCAUAUACUUCUAUAUACAGUUUUGGAGGCAAUGAGGGAGAUCCAAUGAAAUGGGAGUUUGGGAUAUCUCUGCAAUAUAAUGGUUCAUAUUAUAGUAAUAUUUGCAAGGAUUGUGAAUCUAGUGGAGGCUUGUGUGGCUUUGCAGGUAUUGAUCAGUCAUUUGCCUGCAUUUGCCGGAACGGGAAGAAUACCACCACCAGUUGCUUUGCACAAGCUUGAAUUUGUUUAUCUGAAGUGUGGCCUUGAUUGAUUAGGGGUUGCCUGGAGCGGGACAGUGGGAUCAAAAGUUCAAACCAAGUUCAGUCUUGCAGGAAUUUUGCUUCCAUGGUUAGUGGUGUCCAUUUGAAACAGGUAGGAUAUUUUCAAAAUUGUAUGUGGACAAAAAAGUUACAAACCCAAAGCUUCUUGCAAUUUUGGGUGGUUGUGGUGCUGUAAUUUCCAUUAAUUUUAUUAAUAUCUACAUGAAAAAUAUUCUAAAAAAGAUCCUGAUUUUGGAUUUAUGUUGUUCUGGAUAAUAGCUGUAAAACAUCUAAUGGCAUGCUAUUGCUAUGUAUGGCAUCCUA